GCCUUGUGGUUCCUACAUUCGGCUUCAAAGUGCUGAAAUGUGGGUUUUUAUAAACAGGCGCAUAUUGAUUCUGCGAUUUUAUGCAUGGAAGCUGCCGCUCUAGCAGCCUUCCAUAGCCCGGUUGCAGAAACAUCG